UGUCCGCCAGAGGAUUACGGGCGAAAGCCUAAAACUCAAAAGACUUGACGGUGUCCCAACCCUGCCUAGAGGAGCCUGUUUCAUAAUCGAUAACCCCCGCUCAACCUUACCCCCCCUCGAACACCUUCAGCCUAUAUACCGCCGUCUUAUUUAGCUUACCUUCUGAAAGAAUCACAGUAAGCACAAUAGUUCACCCAACUAAGAAGUCAGGUCAAGGUGUAGCUUAUGGGGAGGAGAAAAUGGGCUACAUUUUCUGCCACAGAACACCCACGGAAAAUAUUCUGAAAUAAAAUAUAAAAAGGCGGAUUUAGUAGUAAGUUAAAUUAGAGACUUUAACUAAAAC
rnacentral:rRNA from 1 species